AUAAAUACUUCGAUAGGAACUAGUAAGUACUAUUUCAAGGCGUAGAGAGAUUCUGGUUGGUGAAAAGAGUUGUUUGAGUAAUACUGAACUCAUCCUUGAGUGGAGCGCUGAACUUAAGUAGGUGGCUACGGUAUGCAACCGUUAUUUUGUAAGAGUAUGAACUAUUAUGUAGCGUACUUAGCGAGGUGGAUAAAGUGAUUUAUUCACAAAUUGAGGUGGAACCACGAAGUAAUAUAACUCUCGUCCUCAAA
rnacentral:ncRNA from 1 species